rnacentral:lncRNA from 1 species
UGGGGACAUAAGUAAAUGCCAACAAAAUAACUUAGUUUGGUCAGUGUGCGUGUGAAUGCGUGCGUGUGAGUACGCGUGCGUGCGUGUAACCUUUAUUUAACUAGGCAAGUCAGUCAAGAACAAAUUCUUAUUUACAAUGACGGCCCGGACGACACUGGGCCAACUGUACGCCGCCCUAUGGGACUUCCAAUCAAGGCCGGAUGUGAUACAGCCUGGAUUUGACCAGGGACCAUCAUCAUGGCAAGCACAUAAAAUGUGCAGGUUUUGUAGCAGCUAAAACUGUUCACUUAUUUGUCAGUGACAAGUAACAUGACCAGAUGGACCAAUACAAUUACAUUUCACGCAUCUCGACAAAACUGCCCAAUCACAGCUGUGUAUGCAAACCAAAUGAUGAUCGGUAGCAGGAUUUUCUAACAGUAAAAAAAGGUAGCUACUACAUGCCAUGAAAAAAAAAGGUUUCCUAAUCAACUUGAAAAAUAAAUGGAGCCUAAUGAGAUUGAGCAGGUUCAGGAAACAAUACAGACACAAACAGAGACAGAGCCAGUGGCCGGGUCUUUUGAAGACCAUAAGGAUCCUUCCCUGGCCGCAUCUCAACACUUCAGCUUCAAGCAGAGAAGAGGAGAUCGUGUAAUUAUGGAAUGUAAGCUCUGCUUACCAAAGAUGGUGGAGGUGGCUGCCUACAAAAAAUCUGCAUCAAAUUUGAGGAAACAUGUAAUGGUUUGACAGAAUCAGCUUGACAGAAUCACACAGGACGAGACUGAGCAUCUAAGGCAGCAUUCAUCUGAUGAAGAGGACUUCUUCUCAUCACUGACAACCAAACGGUCAGAAGAGGACCUGAGCCGUAGUCCUGAUGACUCCUUGCUGUCCCCAGUCCACGUGGCCGUGCUGCUGCUCCAGAUUCAACUGUUCUGCCUGCGGCAAUGGAACCCUGACCUGUUCACCGGACGUGCUACCUGUCCCAGACCUGCUGUUUUCAACUCUCUAGAGACACUCUGAAUGAUCGGCUACGAAAAGCCAAGUGACAUUUACUUCUGAGUUGCUGACCUGUUGCACCCUCGACAACCACUGUGAUUAUUAUUAUUUGACCUUGCUGGUCAUCUAUGAACAUUUGAACAUCUGGGCCAUGUUCUGUUAUAAUCUCCACCCGGCACAGCCAGAAGAGGACUGGCCACCCCUCAUAGCCUGGUUCCUCUCUAGGUUUCUUCCUGGGUUCUGGCCUUUCUAGGGAGUUUUUCCUAGCCUUCAUGCUUCUACACCUGCAUUGCUUGCUGUUUGGGGUUUUAGGCUGGGUUUCUGUACAGCACUUGUGACAUCAGCUGAUGUAAGAAGGGCUUUAUAAAGAAAUUUGAUUGAUUGAUGAGGGGGGGAAAAAACAAUUUAAUCAAUUUUAGAAUAAGGCUGUAACCUAACCUCCCAAAAUGUGGAAAAAGUCAAGCGUCUAUUUCCUAUCUCGAAUGCACUGUCUGUGUAGCCCAAGUAUCUGAUGGUGUUUGGCAUAUCAUACUCUUUUUGGCCUGAUAGCAUCAGAUACAUGGGCUACACAUAGUAAGACAGAGGGGCGCUGUUUCGCUCACUCGGAUGCUUUCUCCGGGAGAUAGUUUCAGCCACUGGCGGGUGCACAGUGCUUUGUUCGGAUGCUGUAAUUAUUUUGAGUGAACGUGCGAAAGUAACCAGAUUUUUUAACUGAUUUGCUUUGCAAUCAGAUGAAAACAUGACUGGUUGUGUUCAUGGCACAUUAAAAUGUAAUACAUUUUUACAGUUAAAUUACAUGUCUUAAUGUCUCCAUAAAAACAUUUGUGUGUGCAUACAUAGAAGUCCGCCCCUGGGUCCCAUCCAGUGUCUCUCUAGAGGCUGUCUGUCUGACAGCUGCCUGUAUACAUUCACACCCAUAGCAUUACUGCAAUACCGCUAGGACCAUAACAACACCACUACUUAGAGGGGUUUCACACUUACUAGACUUUUCUAGUAAUACCCUCGGCUACACAGAGAGAGGGAAAGGAGAGAAUGGGAAAGAGAGAGAAGAGGAGCAGAGAGCAAGCAAGAGAUGGACAUGGAUGGAUGGAGGGAUGGAGGGUGGACUGGCAGCAUGCAUGUUAUUAGUUGUUAUUCGUUGUGACAGGAGCAGAGUCAUCAGUUUCACUGAUUAAACCAAUAAAGUCACCCCUCCACUCUGCCCCCAUACUGAUAAUACACUACUAAUCAGAGAGAGAGAGAAUAUAUACGAGAGAGAGAGGGGAAAGGGUGAAGAGAGAGAGAGAAGGAGCAUGUUAAGAAAGAAAAGAACACUGAGUUCCAUUACGAAGAAGCAUUUAUCAUAUCACCCCGCCUACAGGGUUGGAGGAGGAGGCAUAGUACCUGAACCCCCAAAAGGCACAGAGAGGAGGGUUACAGCUGGACAUCUCAGCAACAACUUGACCUCUGACUUCCUUUAGGCACUGAAGCGUUAAAGUUGCCCCCUCUGGAGGAAUGGCUGGGCAGUGAGGGGGGAGAGGAGAGGUGAGCAGGGCUGAAUUUAAUUUUUUAGCAGGACUGUCAAGGACGGUGGCUGUGUUCAGCUCUGCUCACCUGAAACAAAGUGUUCAGAGACACAGACACAGAAAGGAGCAGCCAGGUGUUCUCUCUCAUGUGUUUGUGUGUGUGUUUUGGAAACAGAAUGGACAACAAAUGUUACAUCCUUUACAAUAUAAAGCAGACAGGGCUCCCGAGUGGCGCAGCAAUCUAAGUCACUGCAGCUCAGUGCUAGAGGCGUCACUACAGACACUGAUUCAAUUCCAGGCUGUAUCACAACCGGCCG